AAUCAACGCUGGCGGCGUGCCUAACACAUGCAAGUCGAACGCGAAAGCCCCGCAAGGGGUAAGUAGAGUGGCAAACGGGUGAGUAACACGUGGGUGACCUGCCUUCGAGUGGAGGAUAACGUCCCGAAAGGGACGCUAAUACCGCAUGACAUCCUGCUUUUGAAAAAGCGGAGAUCAAAGCUGGGGAUCGCAAGACCUAGCGCUUGAAGAGGGGCCCGCGCCUGAUUAGCUAGUUGGUGAGGUAACGGCUCACCAAGGCGACGAUCAGUAUCCGGCCUGAGAGGGCGGACGGACACACUGGGACUGAGACACGGCCCAGACUCCUACGGGAGGCAGCAGUGGGGAAUUGUUCGCAAUGGGCGCAAGCCUGACGACGCAACGCCGCGUGGAGGACGAAGAUCUUCGGGUCGUAAACUCCUGUCGAGCGGGACGAACGCUUCGCGGAUGAAUAAUCCGCGGAAUUGACGGUACCGCUAAAGGAAGCCCCGGCUAACUCCGUG
rnacentral:rRNA from 1 species